rnacentral:rRNA from 1 species
GAUGAACGCUGGCGGCGUGCCUCAAACAUGCAAGUCGAGCGAGGCUAUGAGUUACCGCAAGGUAAGGCAUAGCCUAGCGGCGAACGGGUGAGUAACACGUGGGUAACCUACCUGGAAGACAGGGAUAACGAUUCGAAAGGGUCGCUAAUACCUGAUAAUAUCCAUCUGCCGGAUGGCGGAGGGAAGAAAGGGGAAACCCGCUUUCAGAUGGGCCCGCGUCCCAUCAGCUAGUUGGUAAGGUAAAGGCUUACCAAGGCGACGACGGGUAGCCGGUCUGAGAGGAUGUACGGCCACACUGGGACUGAGAUACGGCCCAGACUCCUACGGGAGGCAGCAGUUGGGAAUCUUAGGCAAUGGACGAAAGUCUGACCCAGCCAUGCCGCGUGAAGGAAGACGGCCUUAUGGGUUGUAAACUUCUUUACUACGCGAAUAGAGGUUAGUACGAGAUACUAAUAGGAAGGUAGUGUAGUAAAAGCACCGGCUAACUCCGUG